rnacentral:other from 1 species
UUUCCUGCCUGGUGCGUGGACUUUGAAUUUUUAGAACCAACAAAUAGAUUAAAGGGAGUCUGCCUUUGGAUGUGGCGUGUAUGCUUAAAUUUUAUUUAAGAAACCCAUUAGCGUUCAACAAGAUACCCACCUGUGAAAACAGGCUCUUAAAACAUUCAAUGUUGCGGCCGAGGUGGGUAUU